rnacentral:rRNA from 1 species
CUCGUAGGCGGUUCGUCGCGUCCGGUGUGAAAGUCCAUCGCUUAACGGUGGAUCCGCGCCGGGUACGGGCGGGCUUGAGUGCGGUAGGGGAGACUGGAAUUCCCGGUGUAACGGUGGAAUGUGUAGAUAUCGGGAGGAACACCAGUGGCGAAGGCGGCCUACUGGGCACCAACUGACGCUGAGGCUCGAAAGUGUGGGUAGCAAACA